rnacentral:misc_RNA from 1 species
ACCGGGCCGCGGGGACACUAAAAGCCCCGAAAUCAUCUCAAGAUAACCUCAAGAUAACCCUAUUAUCCCCCCUCCUUCCUUGCUCUCUGCCACCCCUCACUCACAGCAGAAUGGACAGCGUUUUGGGGUUGUAGUCCUAAAGGCCCGGGUUAGAUUCCCGGCCGAGGCAGGAGCAAAUCGGCAAAUCGUUCAGUAGAACUUCGGUUUCAACCCUUUUACCCUGUCAUAGCUCAGUCGAUUAAGGCAGUGUCUGGGAUGCUCCAAGACGCAGGUUCGAAUCCUCGUCACUGCCCUUGUGGAUUUGUUCAUUUAAAUUGGCAAAGUUUCUUUCAUGCCCCUGUUCACCUGUGUGUCUUUUUUUAUACCCGUGAUAUUUUCUGUUUAAUUGCCUCGUUAAGCGGUUGAGCUUUAGUUUUCAGGACCUGAUUCUCAACCUUCGGUUGACCAGUGCUCUGGUUCCCCAUCCUCUUGAAGGGUCCGUAGAAUUACGUAAAGGAAUGUACACAUUUCCUGCUGUAAUAUUGUAAAUGACCGUAGAUGGUGAAGGUGGCUAACUAGCGGGAGUAACAACGUUCUAAUACGUCAUAAACACGUUAAGCUAAGAUGUAACAACUUUAUUUCGGUUUGUUUCCAGGAAUGGAACAGAGACAUGAGGACGGGGUAAAGGAAUGUUUCCAACCGUAUGAUCCGUCCGGAAUCGAUCGCCGACUUAGAAGAUGGCAGACAGUCGCUGUACCGACCAGUUCAAGUGAUUAGGAAUAACAUAAUUUCACUGCAAAAUGCGCGGAUUUUCUUACGAAAUCAGACCAAAAUAGGUGGCGGGUGAGGCGAUAGGAAGCUGACGAAGCGAUCAGAUCAUUGACUUCCUUUGGCAUCGUCCUCCACCUAUUUCAGACUUAGCACCUGUGAUGAAUCUUCGUAUACAAUGACUGUCCUGAUCUUCCAGAACAUUUCUAUACAUUUGGAGGAUUUACACGAUGUUUCAACUGCCAGGCGUCAAGCAACAAGUGUUCCCAUAAGAAACAUGGAUGGUGUGUUGAUUUCUUUGUAAACAAUUUAUCCAAGACCCUCGCGCAGUUAAUAAUAAUUCAUAAUGAUAAAAUGUGUAUAUAUAUAUCGCGAGUGAACGCUUUAAUUUGAUGCUUGAUGUGGCUUGAAAAUUUAGUGGAAUCGAUUUGAAAACCGCGUGGAAAGUCGGCGAAGCGUGAAGAGGUUUAGCGGCCAUGGGAGGGUGUGCUAGGCUGUGUCGUCUACUGCCUGGUCUCCUGCGGCGAUACUGGUUCCUGGUGGUGUGGACUGGGGCGUGUGCCGGGGUCUUCUAUGUCGACUACUUCCGCUACAAGAUGCUGCCCCAAUACUACUACACCAGACGCAUGCUUGGGUGUGGUCUGUGCCUCCAGCUUGGCCUGUGUGUGUCGAGGGGCUCAGCGGCUGUGCUCAACCUGUCCUGCUGCUUCUUGGUGCUGCCCAUGUGUCGAGCUCUGGCCACCACCCUGGCCGCCGCCCUCGCCCGCCCACACCGCCGCCCACCCGCCCUACCCGCCACCCUACCCGCCCCCGCCGCCAAGACGACCCACCUCGUGGUCGCCGCCACCGUUGUCAUUAGUGCAGUAGUGCACACAGGAGCCCAUCUGUCAAAUGCUGUCAACUUCUCCCGUUACUACAGCAGCCACUACCCUGACCUCAACCUAGCAACCUACAGGGGUGAGAGCCCUCUGCGAGUCUUCGUGGCAACAGUUCCAGGCAUAACAGGAGCAGCGAUGAUGAUAAUACUGGCUGUUCUUGUGAUCACUUCCACCCGCUGGGCACGAAGAAGAAACUAUGAUGUCUUCUUCUACACGCACCACCUCGGUCUCCUCUUCCUCCUCCUGCUUAUAAUCCAUCCAAUCAGUGGUGUUCUGAAGGAGCAGAAGAACCUUCAUGGCCACAUCCCAGGGUGUCACAUGUAUAGAGACGUUCACACUAAAGCGGAAGGGUUUCCCGAGCCUAGUCGUGCGGCUAAUUACACAAACCUGGACUACAACCUUAAGAGUCAAGAGAAAAGUAGAAUUAGCUACCACGUCUUGGAGCACAACAAUCAGAACCAAACUUCCCACACAGAGACCAUGUAUCCUGAACCUGGUCCAGAAUAUGGCUAUCCUGAGCCAGAUCCACAUAUUGGAAGCCCUGGGCCUGAUUCAGACUAUCGUUACAGUGAACCUGGUCCAGAAUAUGGCUAUCCUGAGCCAGAUCUGCAUAUUGGAAGCCCUGGGCCUGAUUCAGACUAUCACUACAGUGAAUCUGAUUCAGAAUAUGGCUAUCCUGAGCCAGAUCCACAUAUUGGAAGCCCUGGGCCUGAUUCAGACUAUCACUACAGUGAAUCUGAUUCAGAAUAUGGCUAUCCUGAGCCAGAUCUGCAUAUUGGAAGCCCUGGGCCUGAUUCAGACUAUCACUACAGUGAAUCUGAUUCAGAAUAUGGCUAUCCUGAGCCAGAUCCACAUAUUGGAAGCCCUGGGCCUGAUUCAGACUAUCACUACAGUGAAUCUGAUUCAGAAUAUGGCUAUCCUGAGCCAGAUCUGCAUAUUGGAAGCCCUGGGCCUGAUUCAGACUAUCGUUACAGUGAACCUGGUCCAGAAUAUGGCUAUCCUGAGCCAGAUCUGCAUAUUGGAAGCCCUGGGCCUGAUUCAGACUAUCACUACAGUGAAUCUGAUUCAGAAUAUGGCUAUCCUGAGCCAGAUCCACAUAUUGGAAGCCCUGGGCCUGAUUCAGACUAUCACUACAGUGAAUCUGAUUCAGAAUAUGGCUAUCCUGAGCCAGAUCUGCAUAUUGGAAGCCCUGGGCCUGAUUCAGACUAUCACUACAGUGAACCUGAUUCAGAAUAUGGCUAUCCUGAGCCAGAUCCACAUAUUGGAAGUCCUGGGCCUGAUUCAGACUAUCACUACAGUGAACCUGAUUCAGAAUAUGGCUAUCCUGAGCCAGAUCCACAUAUUGGAAGCCCUGCAUCUGAAUCAGAAAAUGACUAUAUAGGCUCUGAUUUACAUUAUAGCUUCCAUGAUUCUGACUCUGGAUAUAGCAAUUCAGAAGUAGGCCCUCAUAAUAAGGGCUCAGCUUCUGAAUCUGACAGUGGCUAUGUUAAAGCUAACUCAAAUUAUGACUACAGUGAACAUAGUGUUGCUCAUAAUAACUUCAAGUCUGCCUCCAAUAUGAAGCAUCCUAGCACUAAACUUCACACUCAACGUUUUGUUGACAAAGAGACUUCUGAGGAGUCAGGAAGGAGAACAGCAACUUGGGGAGAAAUAAGAUCUCAAAAGUUUAGCAAGAAGCAUAGGAUGUGUCUCAAAGCACCAGUGUUUGGCUCCAUUAAUUCGCAGACUUGGAUAUGGGUUACAGUAGCUCUGGCAGUAUGGGCAGCUGACUGGGCAGUGCGGCUGUGGAGGCGGCGCGAGAGCGUGCACAUCAUUAGUGUGGUGCGAUAUCCUUGUGAUGUUGUGCAGCUUACUCUUAGACAGUCUGGCUUUUCCUGCACUCCUGGCCAGUAUGUGUUGGUGCAGUGCCCGGCAGUGUCAAGGUUUGAGUGGCACCCAUACACCGUAACCUCGCCACUGACCCAGCACUGCCCAAACACCUUCACCAUCUUCAUGCGUGUGAGGGGAGACUGGAGCAGUCGUGUUGCAGCUCUACUGCAUCCUGUUAGAGUUUCCAGUCCAAAGUCGCUGAAUAAUCACUGGGCAGAAAAUGAGAAACAUCAGUGCUGCAGUACAUCUCCACAGUCUAGUCCAGCAACACUAUCUAGUCCGUUGAUUCAGUCUAGUCAGUUCUCGCUCAGUCACAUAAACUCGCUUUCUCCCUCAUUUCCUCAUUCAAAUCCACAUACAAAUGCCAUGUUUUCUCAUUUAACUCAGUAUACUCAUGCUUAUUCAUGUAUGCCCACUGUGGAUGAAUUGAAAGACUGUUCAUUUUCACCUGGUGAACAGAAAAUUACAGAAAUCUCUUAUUUAAAAAAUCAAUCAAUAUAUCCUUCAAAUUCAAAAUUAAAUGUAAAAUAUGAUGCCCACUCAGGGUCUAACAAAGUGAAUUUAAAUUUGCUUAAUUCACAUGUACCACUAUUGAGUGCUAACAGGCAUUAUAAAACUUCAGAGUCAAGGAGAUUGCAUCCAUACUCAAAGUAUUGGAUGUCACAAAAUUCUAAAUCUCACAGACACUCAAAGUUGUCUAAUCACUGCACAAGUUCAGGGAGGACUGAAGACUCCUGUGAAAAAUGCAUGUCAAAUGCAGAGCCCAACAAGCAAUCGGCUGAUCUACAACCCAACACUCGCACGAGUACAUUUAUUAACGCACAACCUAACUCAACCUUGAACUCAAUGAAGAGGUCUCGGUCAAGAAAAAAGUGGUCUCAUAAAAGUGAAAAUGGGGGUUUAACUAAAGAUAAAAGCUGCUUCAGCAUCUUCAUUACAGAAGAACCAUGCGUGAGACUGCAACACGUUAUGAGCUUACCAUUGUUACAUGUGUCUAUGCAGGUUGCAUGUGGAUGGGCCCUUCAGUUCCCCAAGUGAAAGCAUGCUACAUUACCCUGUGGUAAUUAGUGCCGCAGGUGGCGUGGGCAUCACACCUCUGGCCGCUACCCUCUCGCACAUCUUGUGUUGCCAGUCACCAUUGCCUGAGCGAGUGCAUGUUGUGUGGGUUGUAAGGGAUGCUCGUCUCUUUUUGGCCUUGGCACCUUUAUUGUCUAGUCUUCUCCUUCACUGCUGGGAUGCCCACACUGAAGACCGUCUUGAAC